UACGAAGGGGGCUAGCGUUGCUCGGAAUCACUGGGCGUAAAGCGCACGUAGGCGGCUUUUUAAGUCAGGGGUGAAAUCCUGGAGCUCAACUCCAGAACUGCCUUUGAUACUGGGAAGCUUGAGUCCGGAAGAGGUGAGUGGAACUCCGAGUGUAGAGGUGAAAUUCGUGGAUAUUCGGAAGAACACCAGUGGCGAAGGCGGCUCACUGGUCCGGUACUGACGCUGAGGUGCGAAAGCGUGGGGAGCAAACAGG
rnacentral:rRNA from 1 species